rnacentral:misc_RNA from 1 species
GAUGAAGAACGUAGCGAAAUGCGAUAAGUAAUGUGAAUUGCAGAAUUCAGUGAAUCAUCGAAUCUUUGAACGCACAUUGCGCCCUUUGGUAUUCCUUAGGGCAUGCCUGUUCGAGCGUCAUUUAAACCUUCAAGCUAAGCUUGGUGUUGGGUGACUGUCCGCUUCACGGCGGACUCGCCUCAAAAUUAUUGGCGGCCGGUACAUUGGCUUCGAGCGCAGCAGAAACGCGAACUCGGGCCCGUCGUAUUGGCUCCCAGAAGCUAUCUUCACAAUUUUGACCUCGGAUCAGGUAGGGAUACCCGUUGAACUUAAGCAUAUCAAUAAGCGGAGGA